rnacentral:pre_miRNA from 3 species
GUUGAGGGGAAUGUUGUCUGGUUGGAGACCUGGCUCGCACGACGGAUCGAUCGGCGGCGGGCGUGCGCGCGCGGUUUCGGACCAGGCUUCAUUCCCCCCAAC